AAGGUAGCAUACUUAGUGGCAGACGGGUGAGUAACAUGUAGGUAUCUACCCUUUGGCCUGGAAUAACACGAGGAAACUUGUGCUAAUACCGGAUAAGUCUUUACGGAGAAAGCUUUAUGCACCAUUGGAUGAGCCUGCACUUGAUUAGUUUGUUGGUAGGGUAAUGGCCUACCAAGACUGUGAUCAAUAGCUGAUUUGAGAGGAUGAUCAGCCACAUUGGGACUGAGACACGGCCCAAACUCCUACGGGAGGCAGCAGUGGGGAAUCUUGCACAAUGGAGGAAACUCUGAUGCAGCGAUGCCGCGUGAGUGAAGAAGGCCUUUGGGUUGUAAAGCUCUUUCGUCGGGGAAGAAAAUGACUGUACCUGAAUAAGAAGGUCCGGCUAACUUCGUGCCAGCAGCCGCGGUAAUACGAAGGGACCUAGCGUAGUUCGGAAUUACUGGGCUUAAAGAGUUCGUAGGUGGUUGAAAAAGUUGGUGAUGAAAUCCCAGAGCUUAACUCUGGAAACUGGCAUCAAAACUUUUCAGCUAGAGUAUGAUAGAAGGAAGCAGAAUUCUAGUGGUAGAGGUGAAAUCCGUAGAUAUUAGAAAGAAUACCCAUUGCAAAGGCAGCUUGCGGGAUCUUUACUGACACUGGAGGAACGAAAGGCAUGGGUAGGCGAGAGGGAUAUGAUACCUUCGUUAUCCAUGGCCGGAACAGACGGUGUGUAGAACGUGGAGAAUUUUAUACAGUGGUCGGGGGAACGGAAAACACACGGCGUGGGGGAUACACCGCAGGUUACACCCACU
rnacentral:rRNA from 1 species